AAAUCGUACCCCAAACCGACACAGGUGGUCAGGUAGAGAAUACCAAGGCGCUUGAGAGAACUCGGGUGAAGGAACUAGGCAAAAUGGUGCCGUAACUUCGGGAGAAGGCACGCUGGUGUGUAGGUGAAGCCCCUGCGGGUGGAGCUGAGACCAGUCGAAGAUACCAGCUGGCUGCAACUGUUUAUUAAAAACACAGCACUGUGCAAACACGAAAGUGGACGUAUACGGUGUGACGCCUGCCCGGUGCCGGAAGGUUAAUUGAUGGGGUUAUCCGUAAGGAGAAGCUCUUGAUCGAAGCCCCGGUAAACGGCGGCCGUAACUAUAACGGUCCUAAGGUAGCGAAAUUCCUUGUCGGGUAAGUUCCGACCUGCACGAAUGGCGUAAUGAUGGCCAGGCUGUCUCCACCCGAGACUCAGUGAAAUUGAACUCGCUGUGAAGAUGCAGUGUACCCGCGGCAAGACGGAAAGACCCCGUGAACCUUUACUAUAGCUUGACACUGAACAUUGAGCCUUGAUGUGUAGGAUAGGUGGGAGGCUUUGAAGCGUGGACGCCAGUCUGCGUGGAGCCAACCUUGAAAUACCACCCUUUAAUGUUUGAUGUUCUAACGUUGGCCCCUGACCGGGGUUGCGGACAGUGUCUGGUGGGUAGUUUGACUGGGGCGGUCUCCUCCCAAAGCGUAACGGAGGAGCACGAAGGUUAGCUAAUCCUGGUCGGACAUCAGGAGGUUAGUGCAAUGGCAUAAGCUAGCUUGACUGCGAGCGUGACGGCGCGAGCAGGUGCGAAAGCAGGUCAUAGUGAUCCGGUGGUUCUGAAUGGAAGGGCCAUCGCUCAACGGAUAAAAGGUACUCCGGGGAUAACAGGCUGAUACCGCCCAAGAGUUCAUAUCGACGGCGGUGUUUGGCACCUCGAUGUCGGCUCAUCACAUCCUGGGGCUGAAGUAGGUCCCAAGGGUAUGGCUGUUCGCCAUUUAAAGUGGUACGCGAGCUGGGUUUAGAACGUCGUGAGACAGUUCGGUCCCUAUCUGCCGUGGGCGCUGGAGAAUUGAGGGGGGCUGCUCCUAGUACGAGAGGACCGGAGUGGACGCAUCACUGGUGUUCGGGUUGUCAUGCCAAUGGCACUGCCCGGUAGCUAAAUGCGGAAGAGAUAAGUGCUGAAAGCAUCUAAGCACGAAACUUGCCCCGAGAUGAGUUCUCCCUGAGACUUUAAGUCUCCUGAAGGAACGUUAAAGACGAUGACGUUGAUAGGCCGGGUGUGUAAGCGCAGCGAUGCGUUGAGCUAACCGGUACUAAUGAACCGUGAGGCUUAACCUUACAACGCCGAAG
rnacentral:rRNA from 1 species